UAGAUGACCUCUAACCUGUCAUUCUAGCCUG
rnacentral:piRNA from 1 species